rnacentral:sRNA from 2 species
AGGCCGCCUCCUUGGUUCUGAGUGCGCCGUCCACAUCCACAUGACGACUGCUCGCUACGUUUUUGUUGGCC